CUAUCAUCCAGAAAGGUGGAGGGACUGGCCCUGAGAAGCCUUGGCAACCGUCAUUGCUCUAAUGAGCGGUGCCAAUUCCAUCCCGGCAUAAAGACCGGGAAUGAUGAUGG
rnacentral:ncRNA from 2 species